rnacentral:tRNA from 1 species
GGCGCUCUGGCCGAGUGGUUAAGGCGUUUGACUCGAAUCAUUGAACCUUUCUUCAAUCAACAGAUAUCAAAUCCUUUCGGGGGCGUGUGUUCGAAUCACACGGGCGUCG